UACAGAGGGUGCAAGCGUUGCUCGGAUUUACUGGGCGUAAAGCGUACGCAGACGGUGAGGUAGGUCGAAUGUGAAAGCCCAGGGCUCAACCCUGGAAUUGCAUCCGAAACCCCCUCGCUAGAGUAUGAGAGAGGAAAGCGGAAUUCCUGGUGUAGAGGUGAAAUUCGUAGAUAUCAGGAGGAACACCUGCGGCGAAGGCGGCUUUCUGGCUCAUUACUGACGUUCAGGUACGAAAGCGUGGGUAGCAAACAGG
rnacentral:rRNA from 1 species